GCCUGAGUGGCUCAGUCGGUUAAAGUGUCCGACUUCAGCUCGGGUCAUGAUCUCGUGGUUCGUGAGUUUGAGCCCCACGUCGGGCU
rnacentral:tRNA from 1 species